CCAAAGAGUAGGGAAGUGUGUGAGCCAUGCGUCAAGAAAAGCCGCUAUUGUUUUACUUAAGCCCGUACCGUAAACCGACACAGGUGGAUGAGGAGAGAAUCCUAAGGCCGACGGGAGAAGCAUUGUUAAGGAACUCGGCAAAAUGACUCCGUAACUUCGGGAGAAAGAGUGCCAGCGAGAGCUGGCCGCAGAGAAUUGGCCCAAGCAACUGUUUAGCAAAAACACAGGUCUAUGCAAAACCGUAAGGUGAAGUAUAUGGGCUGACGCCUGCCCGGUGCUGGAAGGUUAAGAGGAGAGGUUAGCGGCAACGCGAAGCUUUGAAUUUAAGCCCCAGUAAACGGCGGCCGUAACAGUAACGGUCCUAAGGUAGCGAAAUUCCUUGUCGGGUAAGUUCCGACCCGCACGAAAGGCGUAAUGAUUUGGGCACUGUCUCAACAAUGCACCCGGUGAAAUUGAAAUACCAGUGAAGAUGCUGGUUACCUGCGCCAGGACGGAAAGACCCCAUGGAGCUUUACUCCAGCUUGAUACUGGGAUUCGGUAUUGCAUGUACAGGAUAGGUGGGAGGCUAGGAAGUGAUAACGCCAGUUGUCACGGAGCCGCUGUUGGGAUACCACCCUUGCAGUAUUGGAUUUCUAACCAGCGACCAUGAACUGGUCGGGGGACAAUGUCAGGUGGGGAGUUUGACUGGGGCGGUCGCCUCCGAAAGGGUAUCGGAGGCGCUCAAAGGUUCCCUCAGAAUGGACGGAAACCAUUCGAAGAGUGCAAAGGCAGAAGGGAGCUUGACUGCGACACCGACGGGUGGAGCAGGUACGAAAGUAGGACUUAGUGAUCCGGUGGUAUAAAGUGGGAUUGCCAUCGCUCAACGGAUAAAAGCUACCCUGGGAUAACAGGCUUAUCACUCCCAAGAGUUCACAUCGACGGAGUGGUUUGGCACCUCGAUGUCGGCUCAUCGCAUCCUGGGGCUGAAGUAGGUCCCAAGGGUUGGGCUGUUCGCCCAUUAAAGCGGUACGCGAGCUGGGUUCAGAACGUCGUGAGACAGUUCGGUCCCUAUCCGGCGUGGGCGUAGGAUAUUUGAGAGGAGCUGUCCUUAGUACGAGAGGACCGGGAUGGACUGGCCGCUGGUGUAUCUGUUGCAUACCAAAUGCAUGGCAGAGUAGCCAAGCCGGGACGGGAUAAACGCUGAAGGCAUCUAAGCGUGAAGCCCCCCUCAAGAUGAGAUAUCCCUACGUAAGUAGUAAGACCCCUUGAAGACGACGAGGUAGAUAGGUCAGAGGUGGAAGUACAGUAAUGUAUGGAGCUGACUGAUACUAAUCGGUCGAGGGCAUGACC
rnacentral:rRNA from 1 species